GUAGUGCUCCAGCUUUACCGCUGAUACAUUCGUGUAUGAGAGGAAAGUCCGGGCAGCGCAGGACGCUCCACUUCCUAAUAUAGAAGCUAUUGGUGACAGUAGGAAAUGACAGAAGAAAAUAACCGCUUUUCGAUGCCGCCCUCUUUUUGAAGGGGUUGCGUGCGAGGAGUAAGGGUGAGAAGGUGGUGUAAGAGACCACCAGUCGGUUGGUGACAAUCGGGCUGUGUCAUCUGGAGGCUGCAAGUUCAUGUAAACCACAGUUUGAGGGCUGUCCGCUCGAUGCGUUUCAAUGCAACUGUGGAGGGUAGAAUGCUCAAGCCUUGGGGUGACUCAUGGCUUAGAUAAAUGGUAAAGCGCCAUCUUUGGAUGGUUACAGAACCCGGCUUAUUAGGGCACUACUUUC
rfam:Prevotella oulorum F0390 genomic scaffold supercont1.1, whole genome shotgun sequence.